GUGCUCGCUUUGGCAGCACAUACACUAAAACUGGAACGAUACAGAGAAAAUUAGCAUGGCCCCUGCGCAAGGAUGACACGCAAAUUCGUGAAGUGUUCCAUAUUUUU
rnacentral:snRNA from 1 species